UCCUGAACCACCUGCUUCUCUCAGGCCUCUUCCCAGCAAGGCUGGUCCCCCUCCCCCUCCUCCACCACCUCAUGCACCGCCGUCUCCUCCUGCAAGAGCUUCAGGCAGUGUGGGUCCUCGCCCUCCUGGACCACCUCCUCCACCAACUGUGACUUCUGGUGCCAAAUCUGGUCCAUCUCCACCACCACCUCCAAAGGGCGGUCCAGCUCCUCCCCGACCACCACCACCGUUGCCCAUGGGUUCAAAGGUUCCUCGCCCACCUUCUGGAUUAAAGCGUCCCCCUAAUGCAGCACCAGUUGAAGGAGAUGGUGCAGAGGGUGAUGCCAAUACUCCUAAAGCCAAGCUGAAGCCAUUUUUCUGGGAUAAAGUUCUAGCCAAUCCUGAUAAUUCAAUGGUUUGGCAUCAGAUUAAAUCAGGAUCAUUCCAGUUCAAUGAGGAGAUGAUCGAAACACUGUUUGGGUAUGCCCCUGCUGACAGAAACAAAACUGAUCGCAAGAAAGAGUCUUCCUCCCAAGAUUCCACAUUUCAUUAUAUUCAGAUCCUUGAUACCAAAAAGGCGCAAAACCUGUCAAUUCUUCUUCGGGCACUGAAUGUUACAAUAGAAGAAGUCUGUGAUGCACUUCAUGAAGGUUAUUAUCCUUGAUGCACUGUCAUGAAUUCUUUUUAAUGCGUCAAUGUAUCUAACCUCUCGAAGGUAAAAAUCAGGAAAUGAACUUCCCAUAGAACUCCUUCAGACUUUGUUGAAAAUGGCACCUACAGCAGAUGAAGAGCUGAAGCUUAGGCUGUACAGUGGUGAACUUUCUCAACUAGGGAAUGCUGAACGAUUUCUAAAAAUGUUGGUUGACAUUCCAUUUGCUUAUAAACGAUUGGAAGCACUGCUUUUCAUGUGUACUCUACAGGAAGAGGUUGCCAUGACUAAGGAGUCCUUUGACACUUUAGAGGUAGGAUACUGGAUGUUUUGUUGCAUCCCAUCUGAUUUUACAUUUCAUGUUUGCUGCUCAUUUAGUAUCAGUAUCUUGAUAUUAAUUUUUGAUAGCUCUAAAGGGGUAAGAAGUUGCUUUGACAGUAUGCUGGAAAGAGCUGAAUAAAAACUUAAACUUUUGUAUAUGAUGUAUAUUGAUGAAACAAACACUCUGGAAUUUUGGAAUUGCAGUGAUAAAAUACAUAUUUUAGAUUGUGCAUAACCAAUUUGUGAAGAACCAACAUACAGUAUUUUUAGAAAAAAAAAACUAGAUGGUCCUUCAAUUUAUUGGCUCUUUUUUGUCUCCCUGGCUAUAUGUCUUGUGAAACACAUGCAUAUAUCCCGAUUUUACAGGAAUUUGGCCACUUUUCAUGUGUGCAAGGAUGAUGAGAGAUGGGAUAGCAACCACUUGAACCUUGAAAACGGUGCUUGUGCACAGAUUUAUGUGUAUACAUAUCUCAUCCAAAUUUGCACAAAUAUAUUAAUAAUCUAUGAACUGAACCUUUGCAGAAGCAUUGAAGUUUCUCAUAGUUCCUUGUUCUGGAUGUCGCAAUAUCAUCUUUCAUUUCUUCCUCUCAUAUAAUCUGAUAACAGUUUCUGGUAUAUUUAUUGGACUUUUGUGUUUAUUGAUUUGCGGGAAAAUGCCAAUACUAACUCCUUCUAAUGGGGCAGGUUGCUUGCAAGGAACUCAAAAACAGUAGAUUGUUCCUCAAGCUUCUAGAAGCUGUUCUUAAAACUGGCAACCGCAUGAAUGAUGGAACAUUCCGGGGUCGUGCUCAAGCAUUUAAACUUGACACACUUUUAAAAUUAUCUGAUGUGAAGGGAACAGAUGGUAAGACCACACUGUUGCACUUUGUUGUUCAGGAGAUAAUCCGCUCCGAAGGUGUGAGAGCUGCCCGUGCAGCAAGGGAGAGUCGAACAUUCUCAAAUAUCAGUGUGAAAACUGAUGAUCUCCUCGAGGAUGUUACCCCUGAUACAGAAUAUGACUAUCGCAAAACUGGUCUUCAGGUGGUUUCUCGUUUGAGUAGUGAACUAGAAAAUGUCAAAAAAGCAGCAGUUAUCGAUGCUGAUAGCUUAACAGGAACUGUUGCCAAACUGGGCUAUUCACUGUUAAAAACCCAAGAUUUCCUGAACAAGGAUAUGAAGAGCUUAGAGGAAGACAGUGAGUUCCAUGAAGCAUUAAAAAGUUUUGUACAGACUGCUGAGGUUGACGUCAUGUGGUUGCUGGAGGAAGAAAAGAGAAUUAUGGCUCUGGUGAAGAGCACUGGUGAUUACUUCCAUGGGAAUGCAGGGAAGGAUGAAGGCUUACGUCUUUUUGUUAUUGUGCGGGACUUCUUGAUCAUCUUAGAUAAGGUGUGCAAACAGGUGGGAGAGGCACAAAAGAUGUCAGAAAAAUCGCUUAAGAAAGAGGCAUCAACUGCAUCAUCUCACUCUUCCCGCCAACAACAACAAAUUUCUCCUGAUCCCCGCCAACAACAACAGAUUUCUCCUGAUAUUCGUUCACGGUUAUUUCCAGCAAUUCAAGAGCGGAAGAUUGAAAAUUCUAGUUCAGAUGAUGAGAGUGAAUGAACCAUCUGGAAUAGGUCGCUUUUAGGAUGAAAGUCCCUUAAAUUUCUGAAAAGGAGGGAUCAAUGAAAAGUAAGCAAUUGUGUUGAUAGUUCUUAUCCUGGCUAAUUUCACUAUGGUAGCUGCAUUAGUGGAGCAAACAUCACAAUCACUUUCACCAGAUUUCCCAGUGGUCAGAAGGAUUCUCAUCCAGCUAACUUGUGCAUUAGUAGUUAGAUACAAAAGUAAUUUUCUUUUUAUUUGAAAUUCUUUUUUUUUUCCCCCUGAGAUUAAAAUGGUGUAAUUCGUAGUUAGAUACAAAUGUAAUUUUCUUUUUAUCUGAAGUAUUUGCCUUUUUUCUCCAGAGAUAAAAGUGGACCAAUUAGCAAGUUAGUUCUCAAAUUAGAAGUUAUUUGUACUGUCUUAAAUGUAUAUGGAGGAAAGUAUAUAUUUUUCUAAUUGAAGGGCUUUACUGCGUAUGAUUA
rnacentral:misc_RNA from 1 species